AAGCCGGAAUCGCUAGUAAUCGCAGAUCAGCAUGCUGCGGUGAAUACGUUCCCGGGUCUUGUACACACCGCCCGUCACACCAUGGGAGUCGGAAAUGCCCGAAGUCGGUGACCCAACCGGAAGGAGGGAGCCGCCGAAGGCAGGUCUGAUAACUGGGGUGAAGUCGUAACAAGGUACC
rnacentral:rRNA from 1 species